ACGAUUCUACUUCAGUCUCUGACUAAACAUCAAACUGCAACGUUGUGUGUGAAGUGAACUCCUGAAAUUAAAAUAAAUUGAUACUUUGGUGGAAGAAAGAAGUUUUCAAG